CGGGAGGCAGCAGUGGGGAAUAUUGCACAAUGGGCGCAAGCCUGAUGCAGCCAUGCCGCGUGUAUGAAGAAGGCCUUCGGGUUGUAAAGUACUUUCAGCAGUGAGGAAGGCAGGUACGUUAAUAGCGUGCUUGUUUGACGUUAGCUGCAGAAGAAGCACCGGCUAACUCCGUGCCAGCAGCCGCGGUAAUACGGAGGGUGCGAGCGUUAAUCGGAAUUACUGGGCGUAAAGCGCAUGCAGGUGGUUUGUUAAGUCAGAUGUGAAAGCCCGGGGCUCAACCUCGGAAUUGCAUUUGAAACUGGCAGACUAGAGUACUGUAGAGGGGGUAGAAUUUCAGGUGUAGCGGUGAAAAUGCGUAGAGAUCUGAAGGAAUACCGGUGGCGAAGGCGGCCCCCUGGACAGAUACUGACACUCAGAUGCGAAAGCGUGGGGAGCAAACAGGAUUAGAUACCCUGGUAG
rnacentral:rRNA from 1 species